GUAAUGUUUUCUUGUCAUAGCUUAGGCCUUCCUGAGUUGUUGGGCAUCUGGGAUUUUUACAGGGUCUGUGGCCUUGGGGUUGUUCUGAAAGGGAAUUUGAAAUGAGAACUGAUCUCAUUCCAAGGAGUCAAGCAUAAUGCAAUACUUGUUUUCCUAGAGUCAAUCAGCCUAGGGAAAAUGCGAGUAGGCUGGAAGCGGGGAGGAGGAGGAGUCUGAGAGUUUGAGUAAUCAACUUAACCCAGGGGUAAAAAGAAUUUUAUUAUAGAAAGCAGCACACAUGACCUCUGUCCUUCCAGCUGCCACCAGUUUCUGGGUUGUCGAGUGAUACCCUGAAAGUUUACAGUCAACACUCCUUGUGUGGGGUCAGUCCUAGAAAUGGCGACGCUGCUCUCCGAAGAUAGGAAAGAAAAGGACCUCAUUCCAUUGAGCCAUUGACCGAAAUAUUUUCUCAACAAAGUUGAACUGAGCUGAAACUGUGUGAAUCAUGGCAAUACAGUGAAAGACAGUGAUUUACUGCUUUUGAGGGCGUGCAUGUAUAUGAUUAACGGAUGGAAGUGCAGGACUCCAAGAUUUACUUCCUUCCCUUUCCAGCAGAAUUACCUGAGACGAGUAAAAUCUACUGGUGGAGUCACUCCAUUAUUCUUAUCUGUGGAGAUCUAGAUCUUGAUUUGAAAGUUUCUGAGAAAAUCUUCAGCUCAGACUUGAGGGUCAACUUUACCAGCUGAAGUGACUACAUCCUGCCUGCUUUCAGCUCCAGUGGAAAAUGCAUUAAUCCCAGAGUCUCCGUGAGGUUUCCUGUUUGAUGACAUAAUCAGAAAAUCCUCCUCACAUUGCCCUUGGGGUUGCUGUCUGGAUGUUAUGUUGUCUUGGAUCUGCAUUUACUGCUCAACCACAUCUAAUUUGAUGUCCUCUGCAGAUUUAAAAUGUGUGCCUUCUUUUCCGUCACCAAGUCAUCCCUGGGUUACUACUGAACAUCCUUCUCAAUUCCCCCCGACCCAUGGAUGGCUGUUCUCCAUUGUCUGUUUCACCAGAUGUCCUCAAAACAAACAGACAGAAGAAGGAAGUGGCUAAUGGAGCUGUGGAGUCCAAGUGUGACUGCCAAGAGGAAUCCAGCAAAGCCAAAAAGCCCAAGCAUGUAGCCCUGCCCGAAGCACGCCACACGCAUGGAAAACCCAGAGGAAAUGAGUGAGGAUCAAUGGGAAGAAGAGAGCCAGCCAGGAAGUUGAAGAUUUGUCCAGGAGCAGAUAGCUGAAGAGAGAGAGAGAGAAGAGAGAACGGCUUACAGCUCAGGUCCUCUCUCCAUGCUUAGGAACCACUACAAAUGCUACUGCCUUGAGUCUCAUUUUGUUUCCCUCUGGAAACCACAUGUGUACCUUGUUUGCAACAGUAUGGGUAUGGAUGUUUUGGUAGUUCUUACACAUUUAUUUUAAAAUUUAAAGAAGUAGUGCCAUAAAGCUUUAUCAGGAUGUAUUUAAAAUGAAAAUAGUCUCUUGUUAUCUAGCAUGCAACUGAUUCUUUCAAUUUGGUUUGGUUAGUCAGAAUCUUACCAGAAGUCUGUCCAGGUGAUAGGUUAGUUGAGAGCAUCAAGACCAACCAAAAUAAAACAAAAACAAUAGCCUAUGGCAAACUCAUUCUGAUCAUUUCACAUCCUAGAGAAAAGUGCAGAGAAACAAAAAUGAGUCAAUAUUUUAUAAAUUCAGGGUCAAUAUUGUAUGCAAUGUCAAUAGUGUAUGAGUUCCAAAGGUUUUGUGUCACUAUUAAAUUAGAAAUGAUCCAUUUUUAUUCGACGUAUAGUAGAUCGGGCCAUAUAAUGGCCAAUAAAUAAAUAAAUAAAUAAAACCCCCACACCAGAAUACAAAGGAUAGUGAGGAAACGUAUUUUGUACGACAAUUGCAAACCACUUAUGGGCUUCAAUACAAAGUAAUAGAGACCAUCUCUUCUCUUUGGCUUUCCAUUCAUUUUUAGCAUUAGUGAAUUUAUGUCCUGUGCUCUUGACCUUGAGCCCUAAGAGGUGUAUGUCUUUGCCAUGCUUCUGUGGCUACAUUUUAGGAGAGUGAGUGUGCAUUACAUGUCCGUAACCCAGAUCUUAGAUAGUAGAAGGGUGCUGUUAUAAUUUGUGGACAGAGGCUGUAAUUUGGUGCUCAGGGAUUACCUCCUUUGUAUAUGUUUGCCUACUGCAUGCUACCAUUUAUUGUAAGCUUUUUAUUCAUGAUCUUCAUUCUAGUUGAAUCUGUGGAGCUAUUGGUCAUGAGUAGAGAAAUAGAUCUAUAGGGUUUUCUUGAAUGGCAUUUCUCAUUGCUAAUGUGUUCUGUGACCAGCCAGGUUUAUGGAUAAACCCAGUUUUUGUGUUUCUCUGAGAGGUAUGCAUCAAAGCAGUUUUUUCCUCUUCACUUAGGAAUUUUAAUUUUCCUUCAGGGUUCAGUGGGCCAUUUAGUACCUCCAUUAUCUCAUAAGUUAUUCUUACUAUUUAAAUGACUUUUUUUUUUAGGAUGUUAGCAUGUUGGCCCUUUUACUUUUAUUUUCAAAGUCAGACCAAACAAACCAUCAGAGUGCUGUAAAUUUACACCUUACAUUUGUUUGGAAUUCUUUUUAUAUUAAUAUUUUUAGAGUCUUCAUAUGCAAGCAGAAAUUUUCCAUCCCCUCUCCACUGAUCACCAUUGAGGACAGGGCAUGAGAUGGGCAAACCCAUGCUUUUGUGUGCCUGUAAUGGCUAGCCUCUUUGUUACACACUUUAUAUUGGUCGUUAUCUGAUAGAAUUCCAACAAAUGAAAACAUGCCCAAGUUAAAGAAAUUAAAUCUCCUUAUCCAUCACCUUAGAAAAAUGACAACACAGCAUGUAUGUAAUUUAAAAUGACUUGUUGGAAUAUUUAUUGCUAGAUUGGGAGAACAUUUCUACUGAUAAGAAGCUCCUUUGAUUUAUCAAAGUUUUCCAUAUUAUUUGUUAAUUAACUCCAUGUCCUUAAUAUCCACAGCUCAUUUUUCCUAUGAUAAUGACUCCAUUGUGAAACAUAUAAAUAUAAUGAAAAAUAUCCCUACCUGUAUUAAAAAUUGAGAAACCUCAAUUACUUCACACCCAUUGUAUUUUGUAGUCAGCUCAGGACUGUAGUUACAUAACUUCAGUUAUUAUUGCUGGAGCAACAAGAUAAGAGAGUCAUUGAAACAUUGCAAAAGAGAAUGCAGUGGACCAGGGUGGUAAUGUUGUCCUUGUAAUAAGCCUACUCCUGCCAUUGCUGUUAGAUGAAGGUUUUCUUUUUCCAAGUGUUAUAUAAUUAUAUGCAAUUAUUUUUGUCGUUUGGUUUUCCUAUUAUCUUUUUCCUCCUCUUUUUGACACGAAAAUGAUAGUAACUGGAAAAUAUAAACCAAUAAGAUUUGAGCUAUUUACUAUGUUAAAAGAGAAUUUGCCAGGUUUCAAAUUAUUUCCUCAUUUGGAUCUAGCGUGCAGCACUUACUGAUAAGAAUUCUCUAACACAUGUCUAUUUAAAAGUAUUAAAAGUAUUGUGUACACAUUUCAGCAAAUUUUGGCAAAAGGGUGUCCUCUGAUGGGGAAGUGACUGUUCCUUUCUUUUGCCAUUUCCCAGUCUUAAACCCUUGUUUUUACAUCAAGCUCCUUUGUUAAGGAUUCAACAUAAAAGUCUUUGAUAUUAUUGAGUCCAUCUCUGACUCAUUAUUAGCCAACACUUUGUGUCUGGCUGGCAGCUUUUCCGUAAGUGGUAAGGUCAGCCUCAUACAGUAUUGCACAGCCUUUCCCAUUCCUUUUGCGUCAGUGAGAAUCAAAUGAUUCAACAGUGAAAAGCAAACUCUUGGACUGGAAUAGCAAGAUGACCCAUCUCUAAACAAAGCAAACUGACUAGGAUUCUCUCAUGCUUAACAUGCAUCUUACUGGUUCUUUAUGAAGAGCUUUCUCUUGUUCUGGAGACCAGAAGGCCAAAAUCAAAAGUAUGGGCAGGCUUGAUUUCUUUAGAAGACUCCAGCGGAGAACUGUGUCUCCUUGCUUCUGAUUCUACAUCUCCAUCCAUGGGCCACUGUUUCAGCAACCUCAGCCAGUGCAACACAACCUCAGCCAAGAAGAGUAUGCAGAGAAAGGAGUCCCCUACCUGCCACAAAACUGUUGUCUGAAAACUGUCUCAUAUUGUCUCAAGUUGUCAUUCAUUGUGAAUUAGACCUGUUUAACAUGUAAUCUGCAACAUGCUUCACUGUCUAAUUUUCCAGAGCCCCUCAUAUAAGGAACUGUAUUAUUGGUAUAAUCAUCAUGGUGAAGAAGUUGGUAUGUGGGGGAGAGAUGACAGAAACAGAGAGUAAGUCAGAGCUGGCUGCCUGACAGAUAAAAAGGAAAUGACCAAAAAAAAAAAAAAAGACACAGAAGAAUACUUUGUUGUCCACACAGAAAAGGGAAGUGUAGGUAAGACAGCAGUAGACUAAGAUUCUUAAGACUCAAGUUCUAGUCUUAUUUAUUAGCUAUGGGAGGCCUUGAGGGAGUUCUAGAAUUAAGUGAUCUCUCUUUAUAAAAUAGGAACAGUAAUAACUUCCUGGCUAACUCCCUGGCUGUCUCACAAUGCUGUAGUAGUAAGAAAUAAUUUUAUAAUUAAAGACUAUUUUAGGGCUGAUUACAUUUUUGGGCAGUGGCUCAUACAUGUAAUUUCAACAUUUUGGGAGGCCAAGGUGGGCGGAUUGCUUGAGCCCAGGAAUUCAAGACCAGGCUGGGCAACACAGACCUUGUCACUACAAAAGAAAAAAACAUUAGCUAGGCGUGGUGAUGUAUGCCUGUGGUCCCAGCUACUCAGGAAGCUGAGACAGGAGGAUCACCUGAGCCUGGGAGGUCGAGGCUACAGUGAGCCAUGAUCACACUACUGCACUCCAGCCUGGGAAACAGAGUGAGACUCUGUCUCAAAAAAAAAAAAAAAGGAAUAUUUUACACUUCAAGGUUCUAUACAAAUGUAAAAUAUCAUUCUAUUACUUAUUUAUAAUGCUGAUUAUUCUUUAAAUGACUUUAAAAUGUUAAUCUCUGCUUGAGCCUACGGAGAAGUAUGUAACAAAUUUGUGAAGGAUUGGCAUUAAACAUAGUCAAAAUAAAACAUAGAAAUUAUGGUAAAUAAUUUAACUGGUAAAAUAAUCUAAGUGGUAGUUCUCAGGUAAGUGGAAAUUCGAUUAGCUGAUUGUUUAGGAUUCUUGGUUAUAAGUGACAGAGACCUGACUAAAAGUACAUGAAGCACAUAACUGAGAAGGUUGUGGUAUGGCUCAGCAGAAAUGGGAAAAUCUUGGGACUGGUUCGUGUUUUAUUUACAUUAUCUUUGUUCCCAGGCAGUCUCUGCAUGUAAGUGGCAAAGAUGACUGUCUGAAAAUAUAUACCUACUUUUUUAAAGGGCUAUCUCAAGCCAUUCUGGAGAAGCACCAAAAGCCACUUUGCUUAUACUGGGAGAAUAGUUUGCUUUCCCUAAUUUGUGAUGAGUGAAACACUGAACAGAGACAUAGAAUAAUAUUCUGUAGUUCAGGGUUGGUGUAAUAUGGCCAGUGGGCGGAAUCUGGUCCUCAGACUGAUUUUGCAAAUAAUCUUAUAGAAACACAGCAACACCCAUUCAUUACAUGUUGUUUAUGGUUGCUUUGGGGUUACAAUGGCAGAGUUGAGUAGUUGUGACAGAGAUCACUAGGCUCACCACAUCUGAGAUAUGUACUGACUGACCCUGUACAGAAAGUUUGCUGCUCUUAGAGGAAUGUGUGUUUCUAGUGUCAGCAAUAAACUUCUUGGAUUUGUUUUGUUUUCUCAUCUUUACAUGAUAGUUGCAGACUAGUUGAUCCUUGUGACCUGUUUUUGAAUGCCACUGUGUAUUCUGUCAGGGCCCUCUGAUUCUGUUUCUUAUGGUGCUGAAUGCACAAUUUAAUGCCCUGGAAUUUCCUUCUGUCUUCUGCUAAACUCAUGCCUCUUCAGAUAGUUAAAAUCCUGUUCUACCUUAGAAGUCUCCAGAGUUAUUUUCCUAAAUUAAGAAGAACUGGCUUUGAAGUUACUCAUUAUGCCACACACAAUGGUUGAAAAGAGCAUCUCUUAUGUACUGUGUAUAUUUCAGCAUCCACUCAGCUUCUUAGGUAGAAAAGGAAGAGUCUUCCACAGUGUAUUUUAUCCAUAUUUGGGUCAGAAACUCUUCUUUACCACGGAGCGUGAUGGAAGAAAGAUAUGGGAUGGUAACAGUAGGCCAGGGAUGUAAUAAUCACAAAAUUUGAGAUAUUUUGUGACUGGUGACUCACGCCUGUGAUCCCAGCAUUUUGGGAGGCCAAAGCGGGCGGAUCACCUGAGGUCAGGAGUUCAAGACCAGCUUGGCCAAUGUAGUGAAACCUCAUCUCUACUAAAAAAAUAUAAAAAUUAGCUGGGUGUGGUGGUGCACACCUGUAAUCCUAGCUACUCAGGAGGCUGAGGCAGGAGAAUAGCUUGAACCAAGGAGGUGGAGGUUGCAGUGAGCUGAGAUUGUGCCACCACUGCAUUCCAGUCUGGGUGACAGAGCGAGACUCUGUCUCAAAAAAAAAAAAAAAAAAAAUCUAGAAAAAGAUCUCCAAGAUUCAAUCAUCUAAUUAUUUCUUUUAAAAAUGAGAAAAAUGACUCCUGGUCAGCUUUUACCUUCUUUUUCCAACUGUCUUGACAAUACUUUCAUAUUGGGCUUUUAAAGUCUCAAGUAAUAGGUUUUUAAAACCUCAGCUGAUAAAAGUAUAAAAAUAAAGUUAAAACAUAUUAAAGACAAAACCCAAGAAUCAGCUUCCUCUUCCUUCAUUACUCUUGCAUGGGUGUUGGCUCUAAUUUCUCCAUCUAGUUAGGCAGUCCUUUGCUUUUUAUUGCUUGUUUAUUGAUGACAUUUGCCAUUUGUAGCAAUAGUAAUAGAAUCAUCUAUAUAUUUGUGGCCUUGUUGAAUGUAGAAAAAGGAUAGUGGCAUUUUCUAAUUGUGUAACCCUAUAACACCUUGACGGGGGACUACAGUUCAUAUGCUGGACCUUUUGUGUUUGUUCAUGGCGGGUGGGUUGCUUUAAUAUACUUAGCACAUUGUCCUAAUUGCCAUCCUUUUGGGGAGGGCUAUAUAUCCAAGCUAAUAUGGUAGCAUUUUUGUUUUAACAUAGAGCUGACCCAAGGUAGACGUAAGUGUUGUUCAUUUUUGCCUAAUACUAAUAAAAUUACCUAAUUGUUGAAGCUUGGAGCUUGAAUCUAGGCAUUUUAUUUCAUUUCAAGUACACCCUAGUAUUUUAAAGCAUAAAUAUCCUACUAUCCUCAACAACUUUAGAACAAAAAUAAAUAUUUUAACAAGAAAAAAGCAUGCCAUGACAAGCUGUAACUUAGUAAAGAAAGACAAGGAAUGGUCUCUAUAGACCGAGAAAAAAUAGGUCCUCAGAUAUAUUUAUACCAAAGGAAUGUUAUGAAUGUAAAAAACAGUUUGACUCCCCCCCCCCCGCCAAAAAAAAACUCCACAACCCUAUAUUUUGUUAUCACAAGACUGUUUUAGUGAAUAAAACAGUAUGAAUUGGUUUUACCUGUUUCCAUUUAAUACUUAUUAACUUUAUAAUCGUAUAGCCUGAGGGUUUUAACUUCAAGUACAGCAUGAUGACUAUAAUAGUUUUACACAAGGCAAAUGUGAAAAACAGAAGUAAUUUCUUUUAAAAAGUGUGAAAUAUCUAAAAGGUAUGACUUCAAUACAUCAACUCAGGUGAGACAGACAUGUAACUUCUUUUUCCAUGUUUAAACCUAAUAUUGCUUUUGUGCCUCUGAAGGCUCGGAGUUUCCAUGCCUUCUUAGGACAUGCCACCCUCUCCACACCUGGAUGUGUUCACCAACCCAGAAGCUCUUGGAACCCCAUCAUUUGGGGUUUUUAUGGAGUCCCCAUUAAGUAGGUAUGACUGAUUAAAUCACUGGCCAUUGGUGGUUGACUCAAUCUCCAGCCUCUCUUCCCUCUCUGAAGGUGAAGGGGUGGGAAGGUGAGGCUAAGUUCCAACCCUCGGAUCACAGGGUUGGUUCCUCUGCAACCAGGCUUCAUCGUGAAACAAUACAGGGCCCACCGAGAGUCACCCCAUUAGCAAACUCAGAUGUGAUUGAAAGGGGCUUAUUAUGAAUAUCAAAAGACAUUUCUCUUUCUCCUAUUACUCAGACAGUUACAAGGGUUUCAGAAGCUCUUGCACCAGGAACUGGGAACAAAGACCAAAUAUAUAUGUCUUCUUCUAUUACAAUGUCACAGGUGUGACAGAGUAGGUAAAUGGAGUCUCAGAGAGUCCCCAGAGUAUUCCAUGGAGCCACAAAAUGAAGAAUAAAUGGAUGGUUCUCCCCAUGAUCAAAAGUGGCCUGAAAAUACUUGAGAAUGAGUCAUAACUUAAAAGGCUGUAUAGUAGAAAAGAAUGCACAGAGGACCGAAUGUAAAAGAAGGCACCCCAGUCUCAGCUAGUGUGGAUGCAUGCCAGUGUAGAAAGAUGCUAGUGUGGCUACAUUGGUGCACUGAAGACCAAACUCCUGCAUGGCCCCACAUCCUUGAUACCUUAGAUCUAUAUCAUCCCCUAAAACUUAGGUGUUAUGACAUUCAGGAUAUGCUACCCCAUCAUUUUUUAGGCUGAAGGAAUUUGAGAAAACAGAAGCAGGAAUGUAAUUGCCCAGUGGGUUCUUCCUGCCCUGUGCACAGACAAAACCAGUUCACUGAGACCAUGGUAUUGCAGUUAAGAAAGAGUUUAACAGGAGGCUGGCCACAUGGAAGAAUUACAGUUAUUACAAAUUAGUCUCCCUGAAGGCUCAGAGGUCAGGGUUUUUCAUGGAUAGUUCGGUGAGCAGUGGAUUAGGGGUAAGUGCUGCUGAUUGGUUGGGGAUACAAUCAUAGGGGUGUGGAAAAUGGUCCUUGUGUGCUGAGUCACCUCUGGGUGGGAGGCCAUGGGACCCAUUGAGUCAUGAGUCACGAGGCUGGGUUGGGUCAGUGUGAAAAACAUCUCAAAAGACCAAUCUUAGGUUCAAAAUAGGUGAUAUUACCUGUAGGAGCAAUUGGGAAAGUUAUAAAUUAUAUGACCUCUUGGCCCCAUGACUUCUGAGCAGUAAGAGAUGAUAGAAACUAAACCUACAUUUUAUCAGCACUCAGGCCUCUUCCAUAAUCCUAAUCUUGUGGCCUUUCGUUAGUCUUAUAAAGGUGGUUUGGUAACUGCCCUCAAGCAAGGAGGGGAUCAGUUUUAGGGAGGUGCUAUUAUCAUCCUUGCUUCAAAGUUAAGCUGUAAACUAAAUUCCUCCCAUAAUUAGCUUGGCCUACACCCAGAAAUGAGCAAAGACAGCCAGCCUGUGAUGUUAGAAGCAAGAUGGAGUUAGUCAUGUUAGAUUUCUCUCACUGUCAUAAUCUUUGCAAGGGAGGUUCCAGGAAGGUCAUCCUACCUUUCCCCUCACCCUUCUCAUGUGACACAGGUCAUAAAGCCUAGGAAGGAUUUUCCGACCUUUCCCUGAAGCAGGUCGUAAGACCCUCAUUGGGGAGGUGCCAUUUCUAGACCAAGAGAAAAGGCACAUCCUUAUGUCUGAAGACACAGGGACACAGAGAAGAAUCUGAACAAACAGGUCUUGCUAAGUUCCCCCCAGUUUGUUUUCAUUAGAUCAUGCCCCUUUAUUCAAUGCUGUUUCUCCACAACUAUCCAUUUCUUCAUCAAGCCUAGCAUAAAAAAUACAGGUUUCACGGUUUCUUUGGGUCUUCAUUUCCUUAUAAAGUCUCCUGUACCAUGUAAAACUUAAAUAAGUUUCUCUGCUUUUCUCUUGUUGAUUCUGUCCUUUGUUUUAUAACCCUCAGACAUGAACCUAGUGAUGAGUGAGGGGAAGAUAAUUUAUUUUCCUCUACAGAUGCAAAAGGGAAAAGGGAACAAUCCCUAAACGGAAGUUAUGAUCCAGGGAUCAGAGGCUCAAAAGCAAGAUUAGGUUUAAAUGUAGAAAAAUACAUUCCUCUUUCAUUUUAGAUAUCCCAAAUGCCCAAAUCAACCCAGCUAUUUCUCAGAAGUCUGUUUCCCCUCCACCCUCUGCUCCUCUGUGUAGUGAAACUGUCUCGUUUGGGAGUAAAAUGGCCUGGCUUUCCUUACUGAGUAUACUCUCAAGACUAUUGCCUAUUACUUUUUUCCAUUCCUUCUUGAGAACUACGCUUUUUAAAACAAGAAUUGACUCCAUUUAUCUUUUUCUUUUAGCCUUCUGCUGGGGUAUGCCUUCUCUAAAGCAAUGAAUAAAAAAUGCUUUAGCUGAAUAAAUGGGGCAAGGAUCAAGGAGUACAAGCUAAUAUUUCACAAUAUUAUCCUGCCAUAAAUAAAAGUAUGGUUUAAAUGACAAUGGUGGGGUUAGGAGUUACAGGUCACUGAAACACCACCUUAUUCAUGCUACCAGCCCCUUGGCUUUCCUGAUGGCAGCAGGGAAGCAACACAUAGGUAGAAUUAUGAGCCAACAUCGUGACUGGAGAGGGAUUGAAAAUCUUAUUUGUUGUCUUCCUAGACUAUUACAGUUAUCUGUUGAAAUUAGACUCAAUUCUUUGGCGAAAGUACUCAUUUUUAAGGUCCAUAAUAAAUUGUAACUAUGUAGCCUUUGUUGCAUGAGUUUAGUAUGAGCUGAUUGGUGGGCCACAGUGAAAGGCAGAGGGAAAUGGAUGUUAACUAAGAGGUAGAAGUCCCCUUGAAGUUCUGACCCUGUCACUAAUGAAGUCUUUAUUUCCGUAUUUAGUAAUUGCCUUUUUUUUUUUUUUUUGAGACAGAGUCUUGCUCUGUCGCCAGGAUGGGGUACAGUGGCACAGUAUCUGCUCACUGCAACCUCCGCCUCCCAGGUUCAAGCAGUUCCCCUGCCUCAGCUUCCUGAAUAGCUGGGACUACAGGUGUCUGCCGCCAUGCCUGGCUAAUUUUUGUAUUUUUAGUAGAGACGGGGUUUCACUAUGUUGGCCAGGAUGGUCUCGAUCUCCUGACCUCGUGAUCUGCCCACCUCAGCCUCCCAAAGCUAGGAUUACAGACGUGAGCCACCAUGCCCGGCCAACUGCCUUCUUUAUAUCUCAUUUUAAAAAUUUAUAACAAAGAAGUGGGUUGAUUUUCAAGACCUAGUUGUGUUAGUUUGAAUGAGAUGCAUACAUUUGGCAAGUCUGGGGUCUAAGAAAAGAUAAAGAUCUGAAUGCUGAAAAUCUAGAGAAUUCAGGUUACUGGGGGAUAACUUAAAGUCACUAGGGAAUUCGGGUUACUGGGGGGAUAACUUAAGGUCACUAGGGAAUUCGGGUUACUGGGGGGAUAACUUAAGGUCACUAGAACCCAAAUGCAGGGAAGAGUUGGGUGCUCUUUGGCAAAUAAACAUUCCUGACUUAGCAUUUUUCUUAAACCCGAACGUGCCAGCUGUUUUUUUGUUUUUUUGUUUUUUUGUUUUGUGACCUCAGCCAGGCUUGCGUGUUUAUUCAUCACAUAUUCUAAGCUCAUAUACAACUGUGACCUGAUCCAGCCUUCAAGGAACUCACUCUUGAUUUUAGGAAUCUUUCCACCACUUCGAUUUCAUCUUACUCCUGAAACAGUCAGCCAGAACUGUCUAAUUCAGUCUAUACUUCUGAUACAAAACUCUACCCAGCAACCACUAUGGUUUUGUUGCUUUAGGUACGUGUUAGAAAGCACCCACAUCAAUUUACAGAAAAUCCUUAACUGAAUCUCUAGUCCCAGAGGAGUCAUAUUUUAUUAUAUGGUGCUUUUUAUUUAAAGAGAUCGGUUUAAUAGAAAUUACUCAGGCAUUUGAAGUGAUAGCUUUAAAAUGUGGGACUGGGGAAAAUAAGAACACUUGACCUCUCUCCAUAAAAUUGAAUUGUUCUUUAGGUUUAAAGUUUUGACAGACAAAGAGAAAGUGAGAGCAAGUGAGGGUGAAAAUAUAUCCUUAUUUGGUAAUGAGUACCCAUUAAGAGGACAGUAUAUUACAUUUCAUCUUCUUACUUCACAUUCCUGUUUUAAGGAUUUGUGAGCAAAGUGCUGUGAGACCUCUAGAGUUAAGAGGCUGGAGAUAGGUAGUUUUGAUGGUAUUUUAAGGAGUGCUCCAUAAUGUGUAGUGUCUGAGUGCUGAAGCUUAAUCAGCUUCAAUUAAAUCCAAAACAUACUGAAUAGCUCCUAUGUGUCUGGCAUUGAGCUGUGUGCCAAAGUGGUGGAAAGAUGUAAGAGCCACUGAGGCUUAGAGAUGAAAAGGAUCUUGGAGCCACUGGUUUCCUGCCUGCUGGAGUUUCACCAUCAAGGACCCUUUCGUUAUUUUCCUUCUCCCAUGCAUUUUAUUAAAAUUUUUGGUUUAGUAAACCAAAUUCACUAAUGGGAUGUUAUUUUCAUAUCAAAGAGUAUAAUUCUGCCAAUCAAGGCUUCUGAUCAGCAUAAAAUAAUUAGGUUUCAUACUGAAUGCACAAAUUCUAGUCAAAAGCAAAGCCAUUUGAUGACAUGUCUGCUAUGUUGCCAUUUGCUUUAAGAGAGGUAAAGGUAGCCUGACUUCUGUUCACUCUGUAGUACAGAAUACAUUGUUAACAAGUCAUAGGUAUGUUCUUUUAGGUUUCUAAUUACUGUCAGCCUCUCAUUUCAGACAGGUGAUGUGAUAAGGUGAAAUGAUUACUAUAUUUAGACUCAAAAGUCCUGAGUUUGAGUCCUCGUUUAACGAUCUAGUCCAUGAGCUUCAGUUUUCUCACCUGUUAAAUGGAAAUGAUGAUUAUUUCCUGGAAAUUGCAUUUCCAGGUUGUUUUGAAUGAUAAAUGAUAUGGUGUAUAUAUCAGCUGUUUGCAAACCAGAAAAAGCUAUUCUAUGGUAAACACAUGCAGUGGGCUGAAUUGUGUCUCCCAAAAUUCAUAUGUUGAAGUCCUCACCCCCAGGGCCUCAGAAUGUGACUGUAUUUGGAUCUAGGGUCUUCAAGAGAUAACUAAGUUAGAAUGAGGUCAUUUGGGUUGAUCCUAAUCCAACUGACUGAUAUCCUUAUAAGACGACGAAAUUUGGAUACAGAAAUACACAGAAGACAGGGAGAAGAUGGCCAUCUACAAGCUAAGGAGAGAGGCCUCAGAAGAAACACACCUGCCACACCUUGAAUUUGGACUUCUAGCCAUCAGAACUGUGGGAAAAUAAAUUUCUGUUGUUUAAGCCAGGAGUCCUCAACCCCCGGGCUGUGGACCUGUACCAGUCGGUGGCAUGUUAAGGACUGGGCUCCACAGCAGGAGGUGAGUGGUGGGCGAGUGAGCAUUACUGCCUGAGCUCCACCUCCCGUCAGAUCAGCAGUGGCAUUAGAUUCUCAUAGGAGCACAAACCCUAUUGUAAACUGAGCACGCAAGGGAUCUAGGUUGUGCGCUCCUUACGAGAAUCUAAUGCCUGAUAAUCUGAGAUUGAACAGUUUUAUCCCCAAACCAUCCCCUCCACCACCCCCGUGGUCUGUGGAAAAAUUGUCUUCCACAAAACUGGUCCCUGGUGCCGAAAAGGUUAGGGACCAGCGGCUCAAGCCACCCAGCCUGUGGUACUUUGUUACGGUAGCCCUGGCAAAUGAAUACAACACGUUUUAGACUAUGAUGUUACACAUGCAGUGUGUUGAGAGCCAAAGAACCCAAAUGAUUCGUGGUAUCUGCCCUUGAAGAGUUUUUAAUCUUUUUGGGCAUGAUGAAACAUACACAUGGAAAAUAAAAUAGCAUAUAACCAAGUGCCCAAAUCAGUAAUAAAUACAGUUGACUCCAUAAACAUUUAGGAACCUUCUAUCCCAUGUUUCCACAUUCUAUCCCAGUGGCUUUUGCCACUAAAUUUCUUCACCCACUAUUAGACUGAUGUUUUCAUCUUUCAGUAUCAGACUCAAGCUUUAAUCUAGAAAGAGGGGGUGGGGGGAUAAAUGCUAUACUUUGGAACCAGUCCGGAUAUUUUAAGUAUGUUUUUAAAAAGUAUAAUCCUCACAACAUGAAAGUUAUUAGUUCUAUUUUUCAGGUGAGAAGAGUUAAGGUCAAACAGACGAAAGCUAGUUAGUGGAGGGACUGGUAUUCCAAGCCCAUUCUGGUUAAACUAAAUCUUGUGUUCUUUCCACUAGAAAACUGCUUUUUGUCUUAAUUAUAAUUUUGUGACAAGGAUGUAUAGUCCAUUAAGGAAUAUAUACAACAGAAGAAGCAUUUAAGUGGACUUGAGGUUUGUGAAUCUGAACUAGUUUCUAUCGACUUUCACAUCAGCAGCUCCUAUUCUGGGGAAAGAGAAUGGAGGCUGGGAGUGAUCCUGACAAACCUUGAUGUGCAGGCUUGUGGAGAAACUGGAUUCACACCCAGGCUCGUGGAGUGUGGGAGAGGCUGGCCUGUCACAAUAUCAGGACAGCCUCUCUUAAUAACACUGCAGAAGGAAUCGAGGGCCCUGUGGUUUGCGUUUGUUAGACUUUGGAUGGUGGAGACCUGUGCCUGCUACUUCUCUCAUCUCCUGAUACCUAAUGCAUAGUGUUCAGUAAGUAUUUAUUUGGUGAUAACAAUAUCAAAAACUAGAUAAUGCUUAGAAGAUCCAACACCUUCCAAAAUCUCUGUUAACCAGGUACUGAAAUAUGGUCAACCAGAUGAGCUGAAAUGUCAAGAACUUAUAGACACACAUGGUUUCAUGGUUGUGAAACUAGAAGAUGUGGCAUAUUUUACACAAUGGAGGGAAGAGCAAAGGUUAUGCAUGUGCGGAGGCAGAGCCCCUAGGCAGGUUUCCCUCUUUUCCUUCCUGUGCACUGAUUUUUAUUUUGGUGAACUGAAACAGGGGUCUAACAAACUGGUAUCUCAUUUGUCUUUAUAAACAGAACUGCCAGAUUGGCUUUGCAAUUCAGGGCCCUGUAGGGUGCCCACCUCCUCAGUUUGGGCAGCAGCAUUACAUCUGAGUCUUAGAAUAAAAAUGGAAAGCAAUGGCUCAACCCAUUGGUUUGUCACCAUCCACAUGAAGGAUCUCUAUUGGUAAAAAAACAGACUCCCGUGUUCAAGGCCCUGGGGCUGGAAUCAAAUCCAUCAUUCAUUUAUUUCGGUUUUUUAAGGCUAAAUACAUAGGGAAGAAAAUGAAAUGUGAGAAAGCUGUGCAUUUUCAAUGUCAUCUUGAAAGUGAGUAUCUUUAGACACAUAAAGUAGAUGAGUGGUUAACUUGGGCUGGGAGAGGGAGUGAGGAGUGGUUGUACAUGGCACAAGGUUUCUAUUUAGUGUGAUUGAAAUGUUCUAUAAUUUGAUUGAUGAUUGUACAGUUCUGUAAAUAAACUAAAAUGUAUUGAAUUGUAUAAUUAAAACAUGCAGAUUUUAUAUUUAAAAUAUACUUUGAUAAAAGUGUUUUAAAAAUGAAUAUCUCAUAGGGUAGAAUGAAAUGAAUAAGAGAAACAGUGAGGCAUCCAGGGGACUUUCUGCACAGUGGGUCUGUCAUUAGGCAGGUACGUUGCCACAGCCAGUUCUAAUGCCCACUCAUAGGCCAAUGCCUAGGACAAUUGCUCAGAUAUCGCCUCUGACAGGCAAGUGUUCCAUCAGUAACAGCAGGCAUCGGAAGAUGAUGCCAUUCCCUGCUGUUAGUAUGAUUAUAUUGACUUAGGUUUUUAAUUUUCUUUCUUGCUGUGUUUUUUUUUUUUCACCUUCUUAGCCUCUAAAGCAUGAACAUCUGUGUUUUUCAG
rnacentral:lncRNA from 10 species